AUUGAACGCUGGCGGCAGGCCUAACACAUGCAAGUCGAACGAGUGGCGGACGGGUGAGUAAUGUCUGGGAAACUGCCCGAUGGAGGGGGAUAACUACUGGAAACUGUAGCUAAUACCGCAUACCCUCGGAUGUGCCCAGAUGGGCUUAGCUAGUAGGUGGUGUAACGGCUCACCUAGGCGACGAUCCCUAGCUGGUCUGAGAGGAUGACCAGCCACACUGGAACUGAGACAAGGUCCAGACUCCUACGGGAGGCAGCAGUGGGGAAUAUUGCACAAUGGGCGCAAGCCUGAUGCAGCCAUGCCGCGUGUAUGAAGAAGGCCUUAGGGUUGUAAAGUACGUUCAGCGGGGAGGCGUUACCCGCAGAAGAAGCACCGGCUAACUCCGUGCCAGCCGCCGCGGUAAUAC
rnacentral:rRNA from 1 species